rnacentral:tRNA from 1 species
GCUCCAAUAGCUCAAUUGGAUAGAGCAGUACCGUCCUAAGGUAAGGGUUGAGGGUUCGAGUCCUUCUUGGAGCGCCA